rnacentral:rRNA from 1 species
CCAGACUCCUACGGGAGGCAGCAGUGGGGGAUAUUGCACAAUGGGGGGAACCCUGAUGCAGCGACGCCGCGUGGGUGAAGGAGCGUUUCGGCGCGUAAAGCCCUAUCGGCAGGGAAGAAGGAGGACGGUACCUGACUAAGAAGCCCCGGCUAACUACGUGCCAGCAGCCGCGGUAAUACGUAGGGAGCGAGCGUUAUCCGGAAUUAUUGGGUGUAAAGGGUGCGUAGACGGGAACUUAAGUUAGUUGUGAAAUCCCUUAGCUCAACUAAGGAAUGGCAACUGAAACUGGGUUUCUUGAGUGCAGGAGAGGAAAGUGGAAUUCCUAGUGUAGCGGUGGAAUGCGUAGAUAUUAGGAGGAACACCGGUGGCGAAGGCGACUUUCUGGACUGUAACUGACGUUGAGGCACGAAAGUGUGGGGAGCAAACAGGAUUAGAUACCCGAGUAC